rnacentral:rRNA from 1 species
CUCAGGAUGAACGCUGGCGGUAUGCCUAACACAUGCAAGUCGAACGAGCUCUUCGGAGCUAGUGGCGGACGGGUGAGUAACGCGUGAGAAUCUACCUCUUGGUUGGGGAUAACAUUUGGAAACGACUGCUAAUACCCAAUGUGCCGCAAGGUAAAAGAUUUAUUGCCAGGAGAAGAGCUCGCGUCUGAUUAGCUAGUUGGUGAGGUAAGAGCUCACCAAGGCAUCGAUCAGUAGCUGGUCUGAGAGGAUGAACAGCCACACUGGGACUGAGACACGGCCCAGACUCCUACGGGAGGCAGCAGUGGGGAAUUUUCCGCAAUGGGCGAAAGCCUGACGGAGCAAUACCGCGUGAGGGAGGAAGGCUCUCGGGUUGUAAACCUCUUUUCUCAGGGAAGAAUAAAUGACGGUACCUGAGGAAUAAGCAUCGGCUAACUCCGUGCCAGCAGCCGCGGUAAUACGGAGGAUGCAAGCGUUAUCCGGAAUUAUUGGGCGUAAAGCGUCCGCAGGUGGUCACUCAAGUCUGCUGUCAAAUACUAGAGCUUAACUCUGGAAAGGCAGUGGAAACUGAGAAACUAGAGUCCGGUAGGGGUAGCGGGAAUUCCCAGUGUA